AGCGAACACUGGCGGCAGGCUUAACACAUGCAAGUCGAGCGGGCAUAGCAAUAUGUCAGCGGCAGACGGGUGAGUAACGCGUGGGAACGUACCUUUUAGUUCGGAACAACACAGGGAAACUUGUGCUAAUACCGGAUAAGCCCUUACGGGGAAAGAUUUAUCGCCGAAAGAUCGGCCCGCGUCUGAUUAGCUAGUUGGUGAGGUAAUGGCUCACCAAGGCGACGAUCAGUAGCUGGUCUGAGAGGAUGAUCAGCCACAUUGGGACUGAGACACGGCCCAAACUCCUACGGGAGGCAGCAGUGGGGAAUAUUGGACAAUGGGCGCAAGCCUGAUCCAGCCAUGCCGCGUGAGUGAUGAAGGCCCUAGGGUUGUAAAGCUCUUUUGUGCGGGAAGAUAAUGACGGUACCGCAAGAAUAAGCCCCGGCUAACUUCGUGCCAGCCGCCGCAGUAA
rnacentral:rRNA from 1 species